rnacentral:rRNA from 1 species
AAGAGAUCUAUCCGAGAUAUAUACCAUCCCAACCCCAUGAUGACAUACCAUAUACGAUAUGCCAUCGGCGGAUCAGCCCGCGCCCCGUAAAACGGGACGGCCCGCCCGAGGACCCCUAAACUCUGUUUUUAGUGGAACUUCUGAGUAAAACAAACAAAUAAAUCAAAACUUUCAACAACGGAUCUCUUGGUUCUGGCAUCGAUGAAGAACGCAACAAAAUGCGAUAAGUAAUGUGAAUUGCAAAAUUCAGUGAAUCAUCAAAUCUUUGAACGCACAUUGCGCCCGCCAGUAUUCUGGCGGGCAUGCCUGUUCGAGCGUCAUUUCAACCCUCAAGCUCAACUUGGUGUUGGGACUCGCGGUAACCCGCGUUCCCCAAAUCGAUUGGCGGUCACGUCAGCUUCCAUAGCGUAAUAAUCAUACACCUCGAUACUGGAAAACGACGCGGCCACGCCGAUAAACCCCAACAUCUGAAUGAUGACCUCGGAUCAGUAGGAAUACCCGAUGAACAUAACAUAUCAAUACGGAGGAAA